rnacentral:lncRNA from 1 species
AUGAACUUUAUCAUAUUAGUGGACAAAAAGAAAAAUGCAUAUGAUCAUCUCAAUAGAAAAAGCACUUAGUAAAACCCAACAUUGAGUCAUGAUUAAAAGCCCUCAGAAAACCAGGGAUAAAAUGAAGAGUCCUCAUAGGAUGCAGGCCAUCUACACAAAAAUCUAUGUCUUCCUAAAAUUGAGAACAAGGUAAAGAUAUCCACUCUCACCACUUUUAUUAAACAUUGUACUGGAGGUUCUAUCUCAUGAAAUAAGGCAAGAAAAAGAAAUCAGUCAUCUAGAUUGGAAAGAGUAACACUUUCCUUAUCAUUUGUGUAGACCAGUCCAUGGAAUCCAUGAAAUAAAAGCUAUUAGAACUAAUAAGUGAGUUAGCAAGGUGGCAGAGUUCAAAAUUA